rnacentral:rRNA from 1 species
GACGAACGCUGGCGGUGUGCUUCACACAUGCAAGUCGAACGAGUGGCGGACGGGUGAGUAACACGUGGGAAUCUACCAUUAGGUGGGGCAUAACAGGCCGAAAGGACUGCUACUGCCGCAUACCUUUUGAUGAUCCCGCGUCCGAUUAGCUAGUUGGGAGUGUAAAAGCCUACCAAGGCGACGAUCCCUAGCUGCUCUGAGAGGAUGACCAGCCACACUGGAACGGAGACACGGUCCAGACUCCUACGGGAGGCAGCAGUGGGGAAUAGUGCACAAUGGGCGCAAGCCUGAUGCAGCCCUGCCGCGUGUAUGAAGAAGGCCUUCGGGUUGUAAAGUACUUUCAGCGGGGAGGCGUUACCCGCAGAAGAAGCACCGGCUAACUCCGUGCCAGCAGCCGCGGUAAUAC